rnacentral:lncRNA from 1 species
CAAAUAUUUGUUGAAUGAAUGAUUAACUACACUUUAGUCCCCAUCCAGAUGGGGUUGAGUGCCUGGACAAGAUGGCAGCUGCAGCAGGGCAGGAGUUGGGGAGAACAGGAGGAACCUCCCUCUGCAAUUUUAAAAUAUUUGAUAAUCACAGCCUUGGAAAAGAGGACUGAAUGACCUUCCUUGUCAUUAUCAUGCCAUCUUGACAGUUUGAUUCCUUCCCAACAUGCCCGUGUCACUUUCGCUUUGGCUGACACCUGAAAUCUGCAGGACAGCUUCCCUGAUUCUUGCUGAGGCAAAUGCCCUGAUGCCAGCAGGAUAGAGCCCCAGGAAGUCCCUACAGCCUCAUCCCAAGUUCAAAUCCCCAGGUGGGUUUUGAACUGAUUACAUCAGAGAUCGCUGGGUCAGCGCAUUCAUCAGGAACUUUUCAAUCCUCUGAGCAACCUAAAAUGGGAUUGACCUCUUCCAUCUUCCUUCUUGAAGCUGGAAACCAGAAGUGCCCAAACAGAGUCACUGCUUGAAAAUUCUCAAAGAACACAGGACAAGAACCAAAGUUCUUUUGCUGUCCCCAACUACCUCCAUCCCCUCAUGCAGGAUAAUGUGGCCUUGGCUACCAGAAGUAAGUUCCAUCACUCAGCUGAAUCUCAAACUCAGCCCACUCUGCCAAGAGGCAUGUUACUCGGCUUCAUUUUGCUCACAAAAAUAAAUAUUUUAAGUCAGAACAGAUGCUGUCUUCCUGGCCUCAUGCCCUGUUGCUUUCAACAUGGUACCAACCCCCUCCAGUUCCUAAAGUUGAGAGAGCACAGAGAGAGGCCCCCUGAGGGAGUGGGGUCAUCCUUUCUGGGGCCUUGGCUGGGGAGGAUUCAGGCCAGAGAACUGUGAAAAGGUCCUAGAGGAGGUAAGAGUGGGAUAAGGGAGGGGGUGAGAGGUUGUGUAUAGCUCUAGAGAAACAAAGCUUGAUAGAUAAGAUUAAUCCUCCUGGGAUAUCUUCUAUGGCUACUGGUAGGGGAGGCAGGAGGAGACAAGCAGAGGAGGAGGCAGGAUUGAUGACACUGUCAUGGAGGCCAGAGUGAGGAGGCUCCCCUGUGCUGGGAGAGGUGUUCAAACAAAAAGAAAAGAUGAGAAGAAAGGAUGAAGGUCACAGGUAAUGGCCCAGAUAAAAAUAAUAAUUCACAUUUAUAAAGAAUACAUUGCAUACAUUAUUUAUCAGGUAGAUUCCAUUAUUACUUCUGUUUUACAGAUGAGGAACCUGAAACUCAAGGUAACAACUUGUACCAGAAAGUUUUUAUUAUUAUCACCAUUUUGCAGAUGAGGAAGCUAGAUAUCAGAGAGGGUAAGCAACUUGUCCAGGACAAGUAAGUAUCUGAGCAGAAUUCAACCUAGAUCUUCAGGGUUCUGAAGUCAACUUGCAUCCACUGUGUCAUUUCCCCUUUCUAAAGUAGUUUAAUGCUCCUCCCCAUUGUCCUGAUGGACAAGUCAGCAGGAGAU